CUCUCUGGCUUGCCCAUGAUCUCCAAACUGGUUUUAGUGCCUGCAUCCAUUGUCCACGACCCUUCUCCUAUCACUCUGAUUGUCUUGAAAUGCUGGUGAUGACGCUUUUCCGUCCAAGAGGUUGGAGGGGACCGGCAUCAAUUAUGCAAAUGAGUUCACAGACUUUGCAGAUUACUUCAUUUGCCGCUAUUGUUUGUGGAAAUUUAAUUAUUAAAUAUUAUUAAGCUUGCGUUUUCUUCAAUUU